rnacentral:lncRNA from 1 species
GUCCCAGAUGUCCCCAGAGGUGUAUCUGAGAUGUCCCCACUGUCCCCUCAGAAGUCCCAGAUGUCCCCAGGUAUCUCAGGUGUCCCCAAUGUCCCCUCAGAAGUCCCCAAUGUCCUCAGUGUCCCCUCAGUGUCUCCUCAGAAGUCCCAGAUAUCCCCUCAGUGUCCCCAAUGUCCCCCCAAAGUCCCCAGUGUCCGCAAUGUCCCCUCAGAAGUCCCACAUGUCCUCCGGUGUCUCAGAUGUCCCCAGUGUCCCCUCAAUGUCCCCAGAGAUGUCCCCAGGUGUGUAUCACGUGUCCCAGAUGUCCCCAAUGUCGCCUCAAUGUCCCCUCAGAAGUCCCAGAUGUCCCCCAUGUCCCCAGGUGUCUCAGAUGUCCCCCAUUGUCCCCAAGGGUCUCAGAUGUCCCUUCAGUGUCCCCAGUCUCCCCAAUGUCCCCUCAGAAGUCCCAGAUGUCCCCAGAGGUGUAUAUGAGAUGUCCCCAAUGUCCCCUCAGUGUCCCCAAUCUCCCCCCAAUAUCCCCUCAGUGUCCCCAAUGUCCCCACUGUCCCCUCAAUGUCCCCAGUGUCCCCCCACUGUCCUCAAUGUCCCUCAGAAGUCCCAGAUGUCCCCAGAGGUGUAUCUGAGAUGUCCCCAAUGUCCCCA